GGUGAAAUGCGUAGAGAUCUGGAGGAAUACCGGUGGCGAAGGCGGCCCCCUGGACGAAGACUGACGCUCAGGUGCGAAAGCGUGGGGAGCAAACAGGAUUAGAUACCCUGGUAGUCCACGCCGUAAACGAUGUCGACUUGGAGGUUGUGCCCUUGAGGCGUGGCUUCCGGAGCUAACGCGUUAAGUCGACCGCCUGGGGAGUACGGCCGCAAGGUUAAAACUCAAAUGAAUUGACGGGGGCCCGCACAAGCGGUGGAGCAUGUGGUUUAAUUCGAUGCAACGCGAAGAACC
rnacentral:rRNA from 1 species